rnacentral:rRNA from 1 species
AGUGAACGCUGGCGGUAGGCCUAACACAUGCAAGUCGAACGGCAGCACAGUAAGAGCUUGCUCUUACGGGUGGCGAGUGGCGGACGGGUGAGGAAUACAUCGGAAUCUACUUUUUCGUGGGGGAUAACGUAGGGAAACUUACGCUAAUACCGCAUACGACCUACGGGUGAAAGCAGGGGAUCUUCGGACCUUGCGCGAUUGAAUGAGCCGAUGUCGGAUUAGCUAGUUGGCGGGGUAAAGGCCCACCAAGGCGACGAUCCGUAGCUGGUCUGAGAGGAUGAUCAGCCACACUGGAACUGAGACACGGUCCAGACUCCUACGGGAGGCAGCAGUGGGGAAUAUUGGACAAUGGGCGCAAGCCUGAUCCAGCCAUACCGCGUGGGUGAAGAAGGCCUUCGGGUUGUAAAGCCCUUUUGUUGGGAAAGAAAAGCAGCAGGUUAAUACCCCGCUGUUCUGACGGUACCGAAAGAAUAAGCACCGGCUAACUACGUG